rnacentral:rRNA from 1 species
GACGAACGCUGGCGGCGUGCCUAAUACAUGCAAGUUGAGCGCUGAAGGUUGGUACUUGUACCAACUGGAUGAGCAGCGAACGGGUGAGUAACGCGUGGGGAAUCUGCCUUUGAGCGGGGGACAACAUUUGGAAACGAAUGCUAAUACCGCAUAAAAACUUUAAACACAAGUUUUAAGUUUGAAAGAUGCAAUUGCAUCACUCAAAGAUGAUCCCGCGUUGUAUUAGCUAGUUGGUGAGGUAAAGGCUCACCAAGGCGAUGAUACAUAGCCGACCUGAGAGGGUGAUCGGCCACAUUGGGACUGAGACAAGGCCCAAAAUCCUACGGGGGGGAGCAGUAGGGGAUCUUCGGCAAUGGACGAAAGUCUGAACGAGCAAAGCCGCGUGAGUGAAGAAGGUUUUCGGAUCGUAAAAAUCUGUUGGUAGAGAAGAACGUUGGUGAGAGUGGAAAGCUCAUCAAGUGACGGUAACUACCCAGAAAGGGACGGCUAACUACGUG